AGAUACGUUGGAGAUGCUAAGGUAUUCAAGCUAAGAAAAGCACACGGAAACCUGGUUGCCACAGUGGGAUUGGGCGGAACAAGAAGGUCAUGAACAGAUUCUUUUUCAUGGGGAUUGUUUUCUUUUUCAAAGUUUGACCCGGCGAUGAUUUUUCAUUUUUGAGCUUCUAUAUUGUUAUGGAGCAGGUUGUCAUGAGGAAGCAUUGUUCAGCCAUACGUUUUGGCUUCUUUCUUUUUUUGCCUGAAUUGUUCAGCCAUACGUGAUUGUCCACUUUAGUAUUCUUUUUAUCCCAUGUGUGUAGAAAAAUGUUGCCAACGUAGACUUUCUCUGCCGCAAGUAUUGAUUAAUACUUUCUAAUUUUUU